GAUGAACGCUGGCGGCGUGCCUAAUACAUGCAAGUCGAGCGAACAGACGAGGAGCUUGCUCCUCUGACGUUAGCGGCGGACGGGUGAGUAACACGUGGAUAACCUACCUAUAAGACUGGGAUAACUUCGGGAAACCGGGCUAAUACCGGAUAAUAUAUUGAACCGCAUGGUUCAAUAGUGAAAGACGGGUUUGCUGUCACUUAUAGAUGGAUCCGCGCCGCAUUAGCUAGUUGGUAAGGUAACGGCUUACCAAGGCAACGAUGCGUAGCCGACCUGAGAGGGUGAUCGGCCACACUGGAACUGAGACACGGUCCAGACUCCUACGGGAGGCAGCAGUAGGGAAUCUUCCGCAAUGGGCGAAAGCCUGACGGAGCAACGCCGCGUGAGUGAUGAAGGUCUUCGGAUCGUAAAACUCUGUUAUUAGGGAAGAACAAAUGUGUAAGUAACUAUGCACGUCUUGACGGUACCUAAUCAGAAAGCCACGGCUAACUACGUG
rnacentral:rRNA from 1 species